rnacentral:rRNA from 1 species
GACGAACGCUGGCGGCGUGCCUAAUACAUGCAAGUUGAGCGAUGAAGAUUGGUGCUUGCACCAAUUUGAAGAGCAGCGAACGGGUGAGUAACGCGUGGGGAAUCUGCCUUUGAGCGGGGGACAACAUUUGGAAACGAAUGCUAAUACCGCAUAACAACUUUAAACAUAAGUUUUAAGUUUGAAAGAUGCAAUUGCAUCACUCAAAGAUGAUCCCGCGUUGUAUUAGCUAGUUGGUGAGGUAAAGGCUCACCAAGGCGAUGAUACAUAGCCGACCUGAGAGGGUGAUCGGCCACAUUGGGACUGAGACACGGCCCAAACUCCUACGGGAGGCAGCAGUAGGGAAUCUUCGGCAAUGGACGAAAGUCUGACCGAGCAACGCCGCGUGAGUGAAGAAGGUUUUCGGAUCGUAAAACUCUGUUGGUAGAGAAGAACGUUGGCGAGAGUGGAAAGCUCAUCAAGUGACGGUAACUACCCAGAAAGGGACGGCUAACUACGU